rfam:Myotis lucifugus cont2.25868, whole genome shotgun sequence.
AGAGGCCCUCUGUGGCCGGAGUGGGAUGCUUGCCUCGUCGUUGCGGCGACAAAGCAAGCAUUCCACCAGGCUGCUCACGCUGCCUGC